GUCGGGAAGAGGAAGAAUGAGAGGGUCCAAGAGUAAUAUGAAUCGGAACAUCGAGGAAAGCGUGAGCUUUGUAGAUUUCCUAUGCUUACAAUGGAGAGAUCUUGCUCUGUGUUUUUCCGAUGCCUCCCAUUCGUAUUGUUCUUGGGUGCUCCUUCCCCUUCCUUUUGGCU
rfam:Triticum aestivum genome assembly, contig: Triticum_aestivum_CS42_TGACv1_scaffold_424153_5BS